GAUGAACGCUAGCGGCAGGCUUAAUACAUGCAAGUCGAGGGGCAGCGCAGUGUAGCAAUACAUGGGCGGCGACCGGCAAACGGGUGCGGAACACGUACAGAACCUUCCUUCGAGCGGGGAAUAGCCCAGAGAAAUUUGGAUUAAUACCCCAUAGUAUAUUGAAAAGGCAUCUUUUUAAUAUUAAAGAUUUAUCACUUGAAGAUGGCUGUGCGGCUGAUUAGGUAGUUGGCGGGGUAACGGCCCACCAAGCCAUCGAUCAGUAACUGGUGUGAGAGCACGACCAGUCACACGGGCACUGAGACACGGGCCCGACUCCUACGGGAGGCAGCAGUAAGGAAUAUUGGUCAAUGGACGCAAGUCUGAACCAGCCAUGCCGCGU
rnacentral:rRNA from 1 species